rnacentral:rRNA from 1 species
GACGAACGCUGGCGGCGCGCCUAACACAUGCAAGUCGAACGGAGCUGAGAGAAGCUUGCUUUUCUUAGCUUAGUGGCGAACGGGUGAGUAACGCGUGAGUAACCUGCCCUGGAGUGGGGGACAACAGUUGGAAACGACUGCUAAUACCGCAUAAGCCCACGAUCCGGCAUCGGAUUGAGGGAAAAGGAUUUAUUCGCUUCAGGAUGGACUCGCGUCCAAUUAGCUAGUUGGUGAGGUAACGGCCCACCAAGGCGACGAUUGGUAGCCGGACUGAGAGGUUGAGCGGCCACAUUGGGACUGAGACACGGCCCAGACUCCUACGCGAGGCAGCAGUGGGGGAUAGUGCAAAAUGAGGGAAACCCUGAUGCAGCGACGCCGCGUGGAGGAAGAAGGUUUUCGGAUUGUAAACUCCUGUCGUUAGGGACGAUAAUGACGGUACCUAACAAGAAAGCACCGGCUAACUACGUG